rnacentral:rRNA from 1 species
CUACGGAGGGUGCAAGCGUUGUUCGGAAUUACUGGGCGUAAAGCGCGUGCAGGCGGUAAGGUAAGUCAGAUGUGAAAGCCCCGGGCUCAACCCGGGAAGUGCAUUUGAUACUGCCUUUCUUGAGUAUGGGAGAGGAGAGUGGAAUUCCCAGUGUAGAGGUGAAAUUCGUAGAUAUUGGGAGGAACACCCGUGGCGAAGGCGACUCUCUGGACCAAUACUGACGCUGAGACGCGAAAGCGUGGGGAGCGAACAGGAUUAGAUACCCUAGUAGUCC